ACUGGAAAGAGUAGAAAGGAUUGGAAACAGCAAAUUUGUCAAUGUUUUUCCUCUCUGCCGCGUCGCUGCUGCUUUAGAUUAGCCCUGUCCCCUGCAAUUUGACAGUAGCGCCGUGAACCUGCAGCGUGAGGAUCCCGGGCUAAGAUAGGGAGAAAGGAGGAGGAAUUCAGGGAAUGUUUUCCCUUGGAGCAAGCGGGGAAGCGCAGCCGCUGGGACCCGGGCUGCGGUGACAGCGCUAACACUUCCCAGAGCCGGGGACCCCGCCGCUGGAAUGGCAUUGCCCACCCUGAAAGUGAGAAGCUCAAAGGGACAGAGGAAGAAAUCUGGUGGAGCAGACUGCUGAAAAAUUACUGUGCUAAAAAAAUCCCUAAAAAUCAGGAUUUUCCCUUAUGGACUGAAAGAAGCCCUAUUAAAAUCCUAUCUUCUGGAAAGCGUCAGAGAGGCAGGAGGCUUGAAGUGUCCAAGAUCAAAGAGAGGAAAAGCAUUUGCUGCUGGGAAGUGAGGCACACAUCUUUCCUCCCUUGCAAUAAGCUCAUUAAUCUGGCAUGGCAGUGGCUGAUCUGGGGACAUCACACCUUCAAAUGCACUUCAAAUAUCUGGAAGGCCUGUGGUGCUACUGGACGAGGAGCUGAUCCUACGUGGACCUAUGUGAGGACAGCUAAGAGGAUUGGGAUCUUCCCAGUAAUUCCUGCAAAUAAUAAAAUAUCCCACAAAAAUGCUGGAAAAUAUGAAAAGGUCAAUGAAGCAGGGGAAAAGAGCGAUCCAAUGCUUUUUGUGUUGUGUUUUUUUUUCCUUCCCUUUAGGAACAAUGCAUUAUCUGAAAAUCCCACUUUAUAGCUUGGAAUUUGUUUUUGUGUUGGUGACUUUCAGUCACUGAAUAAAGUGCGACCACAGAAAUCGGACA
rnacentral:lncRNA from 1 species